AGCAGUCGCCGCGGUAAUACGGAGGGUGCAAGCGUUAUCCGGAUUUAUUGGGUUUAAAGGGUCCGUAGGCGGACUUAUAAGUCAGUGGUGAAAGCCUGUCGCUUAACGAUAGAACUGCCAUUGAUACUGUAAGUCUUGAGUAUAUUUGAGGUAGCUGGAAUAAGUAGUGUAGCGGUGAAAUGCAUAGAUAUUACUUAGAACACCAAUUGCGAAGGCAGGUUACCAAGAUAUAACUGACGCUGAGGGACGAAAGCGUGGGUAGCGAACAGGAUUAGAGACCCCUGUAGUCCCUGUCUCUUAUAA
rnacentral:rRNA from 1 species